GACGAACGCUGGCGGCGUGCUUAACACAUGCAAGUCGAACGGUGAACCCCUUCGGGGGGGAUCAGUGGCGAACGGGUGAGUAACACGUGAGCAACCUGCCCCUGACUCUGGGAUAACUACCGGAAACGGUGGCUAAUACCGGAUAUGACGCUCUCAUGCAUGUGGGGGUGUGGAAAGUUUUUCGGUUGGGGAUGGGCUCGCGGCCUAUCAGCUUGUUGGUGGGGUGAUGGCCUACCAAGGCGACGACGGGUAGCCGGCCUGAGAGGGCGACCGGCCACACUGGGACUGAGACACGGCCCAGACUCCUACGGGAGGCAGCAGUGGGGAAUAUUGCGCAAUGGGCGAAAGCCUGACGCAGCGACGCCGCGUGAGGGAUGAAGGCCUUCGGGUUGUAAACCUCUUUCAGCGCCGAAGAAGCGAAAGUGACGGUAGGCGCAGAAGAAGCACCGGCUAACUACGUGCCAGCAGCCGCGGUAACAC
rnacentral:rRNA from 1 species